UAAGGAAUAUUGGUCAAUGGGCGAAAGCCUGAACCAGCCAUGCCGCGUGGAGGAUGAAGGCCCUCUGGGUUGUAAACUUCUUUUAUCUGGGAAGAAACCCGCGAUUUCUAUUGCGGUUGACGGUACCAGUUGAAUAAGCACCGGCUAACUCCGUGCCAGCAGCCGCGGUAAUACGGAGGGUGCAAGCGUUAUCCGGAUUCACUGGGUUUAAAGGGUGCGUAGGUGGGCAGGUAAGUCAGUGGUGAAAUCUCCGAGCUUAACUUGGAAACUGCCGUUGAUACUAUUUGUCUUGAAUGUCGUGGAGGUAGGCGGAAUAUGUCAUGUAGCGGUGAAAUGCUUAGAUAUGACAUAGAACACCAAUUGCGAAGGCAGCUUACUACACGAUGAUUGACGCUGAGGCACGAAAGCGUGGGGAUCAAACAGGAUUAGAUACCCCGGUAGUCC
rnacentral:rRNA from 1 species